rnacentral:sRNA from 1 species
GGAGGGGGUGGCAUCUUUCCUCUUCAGGCGCGGGCCUGGCCCAGAGGCUACAGGAAGCCAGGACGCCGGGGAUUGUCUCUCGCAACCGCAGCCCAGCCCCAGUCAGGGAGGAAGUUCUGCCGGGCGCUCUCCGCCGGUGCCUCACUGGUUAUACUGCUAUACAGGAAACCUGGCAGCGCCGGAGCCGCGCGGUCGAGGAGGGAGCGCGGGACGCCGAGCCCACGCGCGCCUGCCGGGACAAGUGGAGACGAGGCCGGCGAGCGGACGCCCCGAGGUUGGCGAAGGAGCUGUGGCCGGGUCCCCUUCUUAUCCAGCCCGAGACACUGCGCUCCGGUGGGCGUCCCUGCGCUGGGAAUCCCGCUCGGAGUUUUUCCAGGCCCGGCCGGGUUGCUCCGGGAAAGGCCCUGUUGGGGGAGGUGGGCCCGGAGCUGUCAGGUCUACAAUCCGGUUGGAAGGGCUCGCAGUGGGUGAUUCAGGGUGCCAAUGACCUCCCCACGAACGGGAACGCCCGCACUAGACAACCAGCCCCAGACCGGCAUUCCCAGAGCCGCAGGCGGGAGGGACGCAGGGACUCCGGGACAGCAAAUCCCCGGGGGAGAAGGGAAGGGGGAAGGCGGGGCAGGGGAGGCCCACCCUCCUUGGGCUCCGCUAGCGACCAGCCAGCGCCCCUUCAGACGCAGCCUUCCUGGCUCCGGAUCCCGGCUUUCUGCUCCGGUCCUCGUCCCAAUGCCCCCCAAGGUCCCCAGCAGAGGCAUUCAGGUUCCUCCUCGCCCCGCCCAGACGCAGCUUCUUUGGGUAUGGGUGACAGCACUCCUGAGCGUCGCUGUCCCUAUUCGCUGCCGUUGCCAGCUCCGAUUCCGCGAAACCUCUCCGGCACCACCUCGGAAGCCCCGCCCAGGGCGAUGGUCCGGGCCUAACCUGCCGGCCCCGCCCACCCGGCCCUUGGGCUCCCUGAGGCCCGCCCAGCAGACUCGAGGAACGCUUGACAAAGUGGCGAAGGAGCCCUACGGGAGUCCCGGUUGGACCCUGCUCCUUCGGUCCCUCAGCCUCGGCAAGCCGCGGUCUCCUGGCCCUUGGCCUGGGUCACCUUAGGAGGCAGGAGGAGAUGUGGUCAGUGUGGGAGCUUGGAGGGGCCAUGCACUUCCGGAGAAGACCACCGACUCAUGGCUUUGGUGGAGGGGCGCCGGCAGAUUUAACCGGAGAGCAAUGGUGUGAUCUCCGCACACUGCAACCUCUGCCGCCAGGGUUCAAGUGGUUCUCCUGCCUCAGCCUCCCAAGCAGAUGGGACUACAG